GUCGUUGGGGGGGGGUUCGGUAUACGGGGGCGGUACCGUCGGGAGUUGAAUGCGGUGGCCGUGCUAUCACCGUCGUGGGGGGGACGGCGAGGAGGAGUGGCCGGCCUAAAGUGCGUAGGGGACUAAGGCUAGGGGAAAGAAAGGAAAGUCUACUUCUCUUCUGGUAACCUCUAUGAAGGUGUCGACGGGGAGGAUAGAGAGAGCUACUACUUAAAGGGUUCCGGUGGAGGUACCCUGGAAUACGUUCACGUCCGACCAGCCUGGAGGGGUAUCUAGAGGAGUAGGCCUAUGACGUAGAGGAACUCGAGGGGCUCCGGGAUCGGAAGGUACGACAGACAGGUAGUACCGCAAGACGUAGACACCGGCGUCCGCCACGGGGUGGAGCGGCGUGCGGCACCGAACAAAGGAACCGUCGCCUCGGAGGAGGGCGUCCCCUAGUUGUCGCGGCACACGCCGCAUCCAAUACACUAGGACGACGAUGAAGACUCGAGGCGUUGGAGGACCUAUGACUCUCUUGAAAAGUCCAGUCGAAAGGGUCCCCGGUUCGACACCGGACGACGCCACGGAGGGUACCGACCAAUUAGUACCGUUUGCUCGAGAGCCUAGAACAGGAUAUACUGGGGAAGUGGCGCCGCAACUAGGGCGAGGGUGGUUAGUGGCCAAAACGCAGCACGUAUGUCCCACAGAUACCUCUGCUUCCCUUCUAGCACCCGAUAGCAAUGCCCACAAUGUACUAUCUUGCACAAGUACUACACGUCAGAGAGCCACCCAUAAAGAUACUGUUCCAACACAACAGGCCAGGAGGCAGGUGAACAGCGUGACAACGAGACCAGUAGGUGGACCUGCCGUUCGCCGAGAGAAAGCGCUCUUAUCCUCUAUGGAUAACCGUUGUUCAAAGCCACUAGGCUUCUUUGCCUCUAUCAAAACGUCUGACAUAGAUGGUGGCGCCAUCCAAGAUACGCCACUGUUACCUUCCCUAUAACUUCAGUACCCUGAAAUCACCUAGUCUGUUUGGCUCCUUCUUUUGCCAGUAACGGCUCCUACUGUUACUGUACAAGCUGCUGGGUCAAUAGUGAUCCAUGAACGAAAGCUGAGGAACCCCAUUAGAGGACGUCCACGCACAGAAAGAACUGUGUGUGGUCCCUUUGUUACAGUCCUAACUUUAUCUGUCCAACCUGGAGUUCUCAGUCUGUUCCCAUCGUGACUCGAGUCCCUUCCGAGACGCCCCUGUACGCCGGAAGCAGCCUGUCUUAUCGGGUCCGUAAAAUAGGUGGUUUCUUAAGGGGUUUGAUUCUGGCCUAACAUAGAUAAAGUGUUGAGGGGCGGAGUCUCUCGCGGUACGAAAACUCGUAGCGGCAUUGGUUACCUCGCCGCACUUCCAUAUACUGGACUUUUCCGUCUGUGAACUUCUACGAAAGGGUAGACCACCUCCAGAAAUGCCUUGGUAGACAGGUAACCUUCAGACCAAGUGUGGUUCAGACUAGACUAUCGGUGCGACAUUGAACCACCUUUAUACGGAGCUCAACUACCCUUAAGGGAAGUCUUUUACUUAGUAGACGGAGGUCCUAUUAAAGAGAACAAAGAGAAAACCGACAAAAGUACGGACACACUCAACAACAGCAAAUCUUUGCUGCCCCAAAUCGUACCUUCUUCCAACGGUCGCUGUUAAAAUGUGGCAGCGAGAACCACAACCAAAAAUAAUAUAUCACAUACACAAGUUAACAAAUCUUUUUUCCCAACCCUAGGAGACGUCAUGACAUGCCAUGUCAUUUCAGUGACUGUACACCUGGACCGAGGUGUACAGUCGUGAUGUAGGGGUCUUUUCACAACGUACAGUACAUUAUACACUCAAGACACAUCGAGUCCGAGUCUUCUAGUCACUCAACACAUAUUGAACACACUUACGACCUCUGGGUUCUCAAACAUGAUCAUGAUAAAACAUC
rnacentral:rRNA from 1 species